rnacentral:rRNA from 1 species
AAUUGAUCUCCCCGUGCAGAAGCGGGGAUAAAAACAUAAGACGAGAAGACCCUAUGGAGCUUUAGACACCAAGACAGCUUACGUCAAGAACCUCAUACAAAAGAUUGAACUACAUGAGUCCUGUCCUAAUGUCUUCGGUUGGGGCGACCCUGGGGAGAUAAAGAACCCCCAUGAGGACUGGAGGGAUACUUCCAAAGCUAAGAGCUUCCGCUCUAAGAAGCAGAAUUUCUGACCGCAAGAUCCGGCAGCGCCGAUCAACGGACCGAGUUACCCUAGGGAUAACAGCGCAAUCCCCUUCUAGAGCCCCUAUCGACAAGGGGGUUUACGACCUCGAUGUUGGAUCAGGACAUCCUAAUGGUGCAGCCGCUAUUAAGGGUUCGUUUGUUCAACGAUUAAAGUCCUACGUGAUCU